UCAGAGCAUGUACUCAGUCAUUCCACACUGCAAGUAAACCUGACAUCUCACAAACACAGCAGUAAUACAAGGCUGUCAAAAAAAGACAAAGGAACAUGGAAAGACAGGAAAAACACAGUGAGGUGAACGGAUUCAGACCUCCUGUAGAUGGCAGCUGGUAUUAAUGCCGGAAAUGUCCUAAGGUGUUUUCCUCAUCACUGUAAAAGGCAUUGUACCUCUACAAGUUCUCUGGCUUACUUUAAAAACAGGAUCGGAGGUGGUACAGAUGAACAAUACAGUGGGCAAGUUUAUACUGCCAGGCUCUACUGAUUUUAAACUAUGAAUGGCGCAAUG